AUUAAUGAAACUGCUGUGACGGAAUGAGGUCCGACAUGUGUGUGAUCGUAGUCGCUAAGUCAAAAAUAGUGGAGGCAUGUUUACAGUAAAAAAUAAAUGGUGAAAACACUUUUCAUGAAUGGGAUUCAGAAUCAAUGAUCAUGACGUCGAUCUGGAAGAGACUUUUACUUAUUAUGAUAUAAAUAAGCAUUUAAAAAAUCAUGGACCGAACAUGAGGACUCCCUUGUUUAUAAAAAGCUGGAAAAAAAGCCGCAGGAACCCAGAGACACUUUUUUAAUUCAGCUGUCAUAAUAUUAAUAUUUUCAUGGAAUUUAAUGUAAAUAUUUUUUUAUAAAAUGUGUUUUUUAUUUCCUCGUUGUAUGUUUGCCGUUUGCAGAAAUAUAGCCGCGUGGGUUGGAUUGUUAUUUGUCAUCCUGUUUGUUUGCAGUCGCUAUGAAAAGGAUGAGUCUUCUUUCUGCGAUUUUGUAAUGGAUAGGGUUAAUGAUAUAGAAAAAAUACUUAAAAUAAAAGAAAAUAAAGAGCCUUCUAAGACCAGAAGAUGUGGCGAAGACAGUCUUAUCAAUCUCAAAGGAGAAAAUAACGACAAGGGUACUGAAAAUACUGAAAAAAUUAUAAGUGAUCUUGCAAAAGAAGAGACUCUUGAAAAAAUAAGAGUAUAUCGUACUUAGUUUAUAUUUAAUGCAAAGGAAUAAAUUAAUACGAUCGAGGAUCGAGUGAAUGAAAUUUGACAGCCGCUACAAAAGGGAUUCAUCUACUUAUUGUGAUGUUGUUAAUGACGCGGUUGAAUACAUAGAAAAGGUACUGAACUUUACAAGAAGCGAUCGAAAACCGGCAAUUUCAAGAAGAUGUGGAUCUUUGAGUGCUUAUGAUGAUGGUAAAGAAACUAAAGAAAGACUAGUGAAACCAGUGCAAGAGAAACUUGAGAAGAUUAAGACGUAUCGUGCGUAAAACUGCUUAUAACAAUAAAAUAAAAACGGAAGGCUCUGAUAA